rnacentral:rRNA from 1 species
UUUUAUAUUGUAAAAAUUUAGUUUUUACUUAAGUAUUAUGAAGGAUGGUAUUAAAUAAUGAUAUUAUUAUUAUAUUUAAAACUUAAAAGGUUUGGCGGUUUUACAUAUCCAGUUAGGGGAGUUUGUUAAUUUGAAUUGAUAAUCCUCAUUUUAAACUUACUUUUUUUUGUAUUUAUAUGCAGUUUGUAUAUUGCUGUCGGUAGUUUAUGUUUUGAGAAUUAUUAAAAGACUGAUUAAUAUUUUUUAUUUUUAUGUCAAGUCAUAAUGCAGCUUAUAAAAAAGGUUUAAUGAACUACUAUAAUUAAUUUUAUUGAAUUCCGGAUUUUAGAAAUUAUAUUUUAUUAGAAAGGGGGACUUAAUAGUAAUAGGUUGGUGUAAUUAGUAUGUAUUGUUGAAUAAUGGUUUUGUAAAGUG